GGCAGGCGCAGCGCCCGCCCCCAGCACCUCUCACCCGGGAAGCGGAAGGCGCUCCCGAUGCCGCCGGUUCCGAGGAGUCCCCGGGGGCACGGACGGGCGCUGGGACCGCGCCGCUCCCCGCCGCACCGGGGACUGCGAGGAGCAGCUGCUGUGACACCCCUGGAUGUCCUGUGAGGCUCCCGCCAGGGUCGCAGCGGCAUCGCCGGAGGAGCAGCAUGCCUGGGAACUGGCGCGCUGCUGUGGGAAGAGCAUGACUGUCUCAUGCUCGCCACUGGCGUUUCAGUUCUGUCACAGGAGCCGGCUGCGCUCCUGCCGCAUUCAGCGUUAGCAGAGCAGGCAUUCCUUCCAUGCGCUGUGCAGUUAUUAAAAACAUGGUGCUCCAGUCAUUAAAGAACGGCCUUUGGCUGUCCUGCGUCCUCAGGACUCCAAAAGCUUGCUUCUGGAGCGCAGCUAGUGGAGGCCUCGUUAUCCAGUCUGUUUCUAAUGAUGUUUACCAAAAUCUAGCUGUGGAAGAUUGGAUCCAUGACCACAUGGAUUUAGAGAAGCAACAGGUCCUUUUCCUUUGGAGAAAUUCCCCUGCCGUGGUAAUAGGGAGACAUCAGAAUCCCUGGCAGGAAUGCAACCUCAGGCUAUUGAGGCAAAAAAAUAUAAAACUAGCCAGGAGAAGAAGUGGAGGAGGGACAGUUUACCAUGACUUAGGCAAUAUCAAUUUGACUUUCUUCACAACCAGAAAAAAAUAUGAACGAAUGGAAAACCUGAAGCUCGUUGUGAAGGCAUUGAAAGCCUUGCGACCCCAGUUAGAUGUACAUGUCACUGACAGAUACGACAUCUUGCUAGACAGGCAAUACAAAAUCUCAGGCACUGCUGCAAAACUGGGAAGGACAAGUGCUUAUCACCACUGUACCUUACUCUGUAAUGCAGAUAAGUUUGUUUUAUCUUCUGUGCUAAAAAGUCCUUUGAAAGGGCUGAAGAGCAAUGCCACUCCUAGUGUGCCUGCCUUGGUGAAAAAUCUCUUUGAAGAGGAUCCUAGUUUAACUUCUGAGAUGCUCCUGGAUGCCAUUGCUAAAGAAUAUGCUGUGCAACACCAGAUAGAUCACCACAUCACCUUAAUAAAUCCAGCUGAUGAGACUCUGCUUCCUGGAAUUAGUGACAAAACUAAAGAACUACAAACCUGGGAAUGGGUGUAUGGAAAGACACCGAAGUUCAGCGUUAGCACAUGUCUUAACAUGAUCUAUAAAGAUUCAGCUCUUGACGUUAAAGUAAAUAUGGAUGUAAAGCAUGGAAGGAUUGAAGUCUGUAACAUUGAUCUGCCAGAGCAGUGGCUACCAGCAGGACUGUACAGUGAACUGGUCAAGAGUCUUACUGGCAGUAAGUUUUGCCCAAACGAAACCACUACGCUAGUGACAACAUUGCUAAGAGUGUGUCCACAAGACGAUGAGUUGCACAGCAGGUGGAGUCUACUGUGUGAGAAUAUAAUAAGAUUAAUGUAACUUGCAUUUUGAAAAUGAUUGAAACCACUGCUGACAAGACAUCAUUGCUGCUUGAACCAGGGAAAAUGGUGGGGACAUCCCAAAUUGGUCCUGUAGCAGAGAAGGUACAAGUGGCUGACACAAAUGGAAUGGGUGAGCCUUCUCCAGAACGUGGCUGGAUCUAUGAGGCAUUACACAGCUUGCUUGAAUUUCCUGACGUUGUGAAGAAAUCAAACAGAUUACUGAAGCUACAAACAAUAAAAAAUAACCUUUAUUCCCAUUAAAAAUAGGCAUAUAUUAUACAUAACUUAAUAAAAUUCACAAGUGACUAGAAACUUUGUAUCACAGCAGCAAACCAGGGAGCUCCUAUGGAAUGUUUGGGGGCAUGACUAAUAGCACACAGCUCUGUGGCACAUAUAUUAUUCAUUUUGCUGAUGCAACACUGCAAAGCUGAAACAUUAUUAUGAGAAAGGAUAAAGAAGGCAGACCACUGGCUAAUUGUGUCUCAGAAAACAAGGCAAAAACCAGCUCCAUUUCUUAUUGAUUACUGUGGAAUAGAUUUGUUGUUAGAAGCAAGAGGAAAAGAAUAGCAGCAUUAGAUGACAGAAGAUGAAAUAAUAAAGUACAUUAAGGGAAAAAAAAAAGAUAAUGGAAUACACCAACCAUCAGGGAAAAUACAUAUAGGAAACAAAAAAAGUUCUAGCAAUAAACAUGCUACUAGAAUAUAGAGGCCUAUUGUAUUACAAGGCAGAAAGUGUAAGGCACGUGUCAGUCCUGAGGCUGAAGGCUGAAAAGAUUUUGAUGGGACCUGAAAAAGAGGCCACUGCCUGUUUUUUAUAUCAGAUUGUAUGACUUAGGCAGAUUCUUGCUAACAAAGAACCCUUGUAUAAGGAAAAAAA